rnacentral:rRNA from 1 species
CAGCAGCCGCGGUAACACGGAGGGUGCAAGCGUUAAUCGGAAUUACUGGGCGUAAAGCGCACGCAGGCGGUCUGUCAAGUCAGAUGUGAAAUCCCCGGGCUUAACCUGGGAACUGCAUUUGAAACUGGCAGGCUAGAGUCUUGUAGAGGGGGGUAGAAUUCCAGGUGUAGCGGUGAAAUGCGUAGAGAUCUGGAGGAAUACCGGUGGCGAAGGCGGCCCCCUGGACAAAGACUGACGCUCAGGUGCGAAAGCGUGGGGAGCAAACAGGAUUAGAUACCCGGGUAGUCCCUGUCCUUAUACA